UCCUGUUCCCUUUUUUCUCAGCUACUCUAAAGCACAUAUUUUACUCUGUGGAAUACUGGAAUAAAUUACCUGGAAGACCUUCAAAAGAUGAGCCGGAGCGUCGUCGUGGAAACUGCAGCCCCAGUUGUGCCCUUUGUGUGGGAGGAGGUGUUGAAUCCAGUCUUCAAAGCGCCCGUGUUGGGGCCCCGGCUGUGUUGACCCCCUGCCCCACUGGCCCUGCGGGAACUCACUGAAAAAUUCCCAAGAGUCUUAAAGACAAUAACUCCUACUCAGGGAAAAGAAGGAAUCAAAGGAGGAGUCGCGAGCACUCAGUA